AAAAAAGGUUUUAGAAAAAGAAGAACAAGUUCUUGAAUAUGAAGAGAGAAAAUUCAAGAAGAAAAAAAAAGAAAUCGGCAAUUUAGUGUAGAAAAGUGGAUUUUGCGUAUUGAAGGAGAAAUAUAAUCUGGAAAAUUUGGAAAGAAGCAAUUAAAAGAUGGCACGUGUUGGGAGAAGAUAAGAAGGAGACAAAAUAGUGAAAGGAGGAAA
rnacentral:lncRNA from 1 species